rnacentral:rRNA from 1 species
AUACGGAGGAUCCGAGCGUUAUCCGGAUUUAUUGGGUUUAAAGGGUGCGCAGGCGGCCAUUUAAGUCAGCGGUUAAAUCGUGGGGCUCAACCCCAUUCUGCCGUUGAUACUGGGUGGCUUGAUUGCGGUCGAGGUUGGCGGAAUUCGUUGUGUAGCGGUGAAAUGCAUAGAUAUGACGAAGAACACCAAUUGCGUAGGCAGCUGACCAGACCGCAAAUGACGCUCAUGCACGAAAGUGCGGGGAUCGAACAGGAUUAGAUACCCUGGUAGUCCGCACAGUAAACGAUGAAUACUUGUUUUCGGCGAUAUAAUGUCGGAGGCAAAGCGAAAGCGAUAAGUAUUCCACCUGGGGAGUACGCCGGCAACGGUGAAACUCAAAUGAAUUGACGGGG